rnacentral:tRNA from 1 species
UAAGAUACGCAAGGUUUUAACUUGCAAUUUUGCCUUGACAAAGCAAUGUAAUAAACGGUUUUACUAGUGUCUC